rnacentral:rRNA from 1 species
GGUUUGGUGAUCAUAGCGAGAGCAAAACACCUGGUCCCAUCCCGAACCCAGCCGUUAAGUGCCUUAGCGCCGAUGGUACUGCGUCUUAAGACGUGGGAGAGUAGGUCAUCGCCAAACCU